UUCCAUCCCCUGCCACUGUCCCUUUAAAGCUGUGAGUCUAUACUGUAUUCCAUCCCCUGCCCACUGUCCCUUUAAAGCUGUGAGUCUAUACUGUAGUUCAUCCCCUGCCCACUGUCCCUUUAAAGCUGCGAGUCUAUACUGUAUUCCAUCCCCUGCCACUGUCCCUUUAAAGCUGUGAGUCUAUACUGUAUUCCAUCCCCUGCCACUGUCCCUUUAAAGCUGUGAGUCUAUACUGUAGUUCAUCCCCUGCCCACUGUCCCUUUAAAGCUGUGAGUCUAUACUGUAUUCCAUCCCCUGCCACUGUCCCUUUAAAGCUGUGAGUCUAUACUGUACUCCAUCCCCUGCCACUGUCCCUUUAAAGCUGGGGCAUACACACUACCAGAGUCAGACUUCUACCUCCAUGACAUUGACCUGCCCUACUGGCUGACCAACGGAUACUACAGAGUACAAGGAGUGCUGGGAGCUAUGGGGAAAGAGCUGGGCUGCCUCAAAAUCACCUUCUCUGUCCACUCUAAUAACUAAAUGAUGGAUAAAUUACCUUCUCUUUCCACUCUAAUAACUAAAUUAUGGAUAAAUGACCUUCUCUGCCCACUCUAGUUAAAUGGUGGAUAAAUUACCUUCUCUGCCCUAAAUGGUGGACACAGGGAACAUUAUCUACCAUUCAAUGAGCUGGUGUACUGACAUUUUGUCUUCUUUAUUCUGAAGGGAACUUCUGCUCUCAUCUCUUCUCAUCUCAUCAAAGUGCCAAUUGACAACUGGGCCUGUAUACACAAAGCCUCUCAGAGUAGGAGUGCUGCUCUAGGAUCAGUUUUACCUUUACAAUCGUAAUGAAUAAGAGACCGGGACCUGAUCCUAGAUCAGUACUCUAAAACGCUUUGUGGAUACUGGCCCUGUACCAAACAAGCAGUAACUGAGCUGCUACUGUAGUGGUACUGUAGUUUAAGGAUACGAUUCAGACUCACUUUCAGGUAAAACAGUUAAGUUGAGUGAUUUUGCAUGGCUUGCUACUGUACUGCUAUGAACUUGUCAGAACCAUUAUGAUUAUUUUUCAUAAUGUUUUACACUGUCUUUUUUUAUUCAGAAUUAUUUUUAUUUGAUUUCUUCUCAAGGUUGAAUGGCCGUGGGUAUGCUGCUAUUGGUCAUCGGCUUUUACCCAGGGUAAGGUACUGGUCACAUAACUAGUAGUUUUAGGAGUUUUAAUUGUGACAGUCGUUUCUAGCUGAUGCUUACUGUGUCAUCAUUUUUGGUUCUAUGGGUCGUAAUGCUACUUCCUGUUGCUAGUGGUGACACUUCUGAUUUUACGACCCCUGGGAAUACGUUGUUCUUCCUGUUGAGGGUGGUGACACUUCUGAUUUUACGACCCCUGGGAAUACGUUGUUCUUCCUGUUGCUAGUGGUGACACUUCUGAUUUUACGACCCCUGGGAAUAUGUUGUUCUUCCUGUUGCUAGUGGUGACCCUUCUGAUUUUACGACCCCUGGGAAUACGUUGUUCUUCCUGUUGAGGGUGGUGACACUUCUGAUUUUACGACCCCUGGGAAUACGUUGUUCUUCCUGUUGCUAGUGGUGACACUUCUGAUUUUACGACCCCUGGGAAUACGUUGUUCUUCCUGUUGCUAGUGGUGACACUUCUGAUUUUACGACCCCUGGGAAUAUGUUGUUCUUCCUGUUGAGGGUGGUGACACUUCUGAUUUUACGACCCCUGGGAAUAUGUUGUUCUUCCUGUUGAGGGUGGUGACACUUCUGAUUUUACGACCCCUGGGAAUAUGUUGUUCUUCCUGUUGAGGGUGGUGACACUUCUGAUUUUACGACCCCUGGGAAUAUGUUGUUCUUCCUGUUGAGGGUGUAUUGAUCUGUUUUUUUUUCUGAAGGUGUUUUGUUGUUGACAUGUACAAAGUGCCUAAAUAGACCUGCUGGAAAGGAGAUCUGCGAAUCAGGUGGGACUGUGUGAUGUUUCAAAGGGAAAUGGAAUGAAAGCAGCCAAUCAAUUCCCCCCCUCAUAUAAUACCGUACCAAUAGGCUAAUCCUGUUCUAUAACCAAUCAAAGUGUUGUAAGGAAUGUAAGUGCAUAAUUAUUCUAAUGAAAUGGUUAGCAAGUAAAGAAGUCUUAAGGAAUCAACACGAAAAAAUUGCACCUUGAUUAUUUAGAAAUGACAUGCUUACUACUGUAACAAAUCAGCAUUAUGUUGGUCAAUAUUUCACUGUAAAAACAUUUUUUUGUUUCAAUAAAAUAAUAUCAUAUAUUUUGCUAA